rnacentral:rRNA from 1 species
CCUACGGGUGGCAGCAGUGAGGAAUAUUGGUCAAUGGACGAGAGUCUGAACCAGCCAAUUAGCGUGAAGGAUGACUGCCCUAUGGGUUGUAAACUUCUUUUAUAUGGGAAUAAAACGUUCCACGUGUGGGAUUUUGUAUGUACCAUAUUAAUAAGGAUCGGCUAACUCCGUGCCAGCAGCCGCGGUAAUACGGAGGAUCCGAGCGUUAUCCGGAUUUAUUGGGUUUAAAGGGAGCGUAGGUGGAUUGGUAAGUCAGUUGUGAAAGUUUGCGGCUCAACCGUAAAAUUGCAGUUGAAACUGGCAGUCUUGAGUACAGUAGAGGUGGGCGGAAUUCGUGGUGUAGCGGUGAAAUGCUUAGAUAUCACGAAGAACUCCGAUUGCGAAGGCAGUUCACUGGACUGCAACUGACACUGAAGCUCGAAAGUGUGGGUAUCAAACAGGAUUAGAUACCCGUGUAGUC